rnacentral:rRNA from 1 species
UACGUAGGGCGCAAGCGUUGUCCGGAAUUACUGGGCGUAAAGAGCUCGUAGGUGGUCUGUCGCGUCAUUUGUGAAAGCCCGGGGCUUAACUCCGGGUUGGCAGGUGAUACGGGCAUGACUGGAGUACUGUAGGGGAGACUGGAAUUCCUGGUGUAGCGGUGAAAUGCGCAGAUAUCAGGAGGAACACCGGUGGCGAAGGCGGGUCUCUGGGCAGUAACUGACGCUGAGGAGCGAAAGCAUGGGUAGCGAACAGG